AGAGGUCCCGCCUGCCCUGUGACUAUAUGUUUAACGGCCGCGGUAUCUUAACCGUGCGAAGGUAGCGUAAUCACUUGUCUUUUAAAUGAAGACCUGUAUGAAUGGCAUCACGAGGGCUUAACUGUCUCCCCUCUCCAGUCAAUGAAAUUGACCUCCCCGUGCAGAGGCGGGGAUAUCUUUAUAAGACGAGAAGACCCUGUGGAGCUUUAGACCUAAAAUAAACCACGUUUAAUAUACUAAAGUUAAUAGCAAAAACUUAAUGGAUAUUUAUUAAAGUGUCUUUGGUUGGGGCGACCGCGGAGUAAAACACAACCUCCAUGUGGAUGGGGAUACUAUCCCUAAAACUCAGAGCCUCCACUCCAAGCAACAGAAAUUCUGACCUACUGAUCCGGUAUAACCGAUUAACGAACCCAGUUACCCCAGGGAUAACAGCGCAAUCCCCUCUCAGAGCUCAUAUCGACGAGGGGGUUUACGACCUCGAUGGUGGAUCAAGGACCUUCCUUAUGGGUGCAGCCGCUUAUUGAGGGGUUCGUUUGUUCAACGAUUAAAGUCCUACGUGAUCUG
rnacentral:rRNA from 1 species